rnacentral:rRNA from 1 species
GAAACUGCGAAUGGCUCAUUAAAUCAGUUAUCGUUUAUUUGAUAGUACCUUACUACAUGGAUAACCGUGGUAAUUCUAGAGCUAAUACAUGCUAAAAAUCCCGACUUCGGAAGGGAUGUAUUUAUUAGAUUAAAAACCAAUGCCCUUUGGGCUCACUGGUGAUUCAUAAUAACUUCUCGAAUCGCAUGGCCUUGCGCCGGCGAUGGUUCAUUCAAAUUUCUGCCCUAUCAACUUUCGACGGCUGGGUCUUGGCCAGCCAUGGUGACAACGGGUAACGGAGGGUUAGGGCUCGACCCCGGAGAAGGAGCCUGAGAAACGGCUACUACAUCCAAGGAAGGCAGCAGGCGCGCAAAUUACCCAAUCCCGACACGGGGAGGUAGUGACAAUACAUACUGAUACAGGGCUCUUUUGGGUCUUGUAAUUGGAAUGAGUACAAUUUAAAUCCCUUAACGAGGAACAAUUGGAGGGCAAGUCUGGUGCCAGCAGCCGCGGUAAUUCCAGCUCCAAUAGCGUAUAUUAAAGUUGUUGCGGUUAAAAAGCUCGUAGUUGAACCUUGGGCCUGGCUGGCCGGUCCGCCUCACCGCGUGCACUGGUACGGUCGGGCCUUUCCCUCUGGGGAACCGCAUGCCCUUCACUGGGUGUGUCGGGGAACCAGGACUUUUACUUUGAAAAAAUUAGAGUGUUCAAAGCAGGCUUAUGCUCGGAUACAUUAGCAUGGAAUAAUAGAAUAGGACGUGCGGUUCUAUUUUGUUGGUUUCUAGGACCGCCGUAAUGAUUAAUAGGGACAGUCGGGGGCAUCAGUAUUCAAUUGUCAGAGGUGAAAUUCUUGGAUUUAUUGAAGACUAACUACUGCGAAAGCAUUUGCCAAGGAUGUUUUCAUUAAUCAGGAACGAAAGUUAGGGGAUCGAAGACGAUCAGAUACCGUCGUAGUCUUAACCAUAAACUAUGCGAACUAGGGAUCGGACGAUGUUAUUAUUUGACUCGUUCGGCACCUUACACGAAAGUACAAGUUUCUGCG